UAGUCUACGCCGUAAACGAUGGAUACUAGCUGUUCGGAACUUGUUUCUGAGUGGCUAAGCGAAAGUGAUAAGUAUCCCACCUGGGGAGUACGUUCGCAAGAAUGAAACUCAAAGGAAUUGACGGGGGCCCGCACAGGCGGUGGAGCAUGUGGUUUAAUUCGAUGAUACGCGAGGAACCUUACCAGGGCUUAAAUGUAGAUUGCAUUAGGUGGAGACACUUAUUUCUUCGGACUAUCUACAAGGUGCUGCAUGGUUGUCGUCAGCUCGUGCCGUGAGGUGUCAGGUUAAGUCCUAUAACGAGCGCAACCCCUGUUGUUAGUUGCCAGCGAGUCAAGUCGGGAACUCUAACAAGACUGCCAGUGCAAACUGUGAGGAAGGUGGGGAUGACGUCAAAUCAUCACGGCCCUUACGCUCUGGGCUACACACGUGCUACAAUGGUCGUGACAAAGAGUUGCUAGUCUGCGAAGGCAAGCCAAUCUCAUAAACGCGGCCUUAGUUCGG
rnacentral:rRNA from 1 species